rnacentral:rRNA from 1 species
AAUCAACGCUGGCGGCGUGCCUAACACAUGCAAGUCGAACGAGAAAGUGGAGCAAUCCAUGAGUAAAGUGGCGUACGGGUGAGUAACACGUGACUAACCUACCCUUGAGUGGGGGAUAACUUCGGGAAACCGAGGCUAAUACCGCAUAAUACCUUCGGGUCAAAGGAGCAAUUCGCUUAAGGAGGGGGUCGCGGCUGAUUAGCUAGUUGGUAGGGUAAUGGCCUACCAAGGCAAUGAUCAGUAUCCGGCCUGAGAGGGCGCACGGACACACUGGAACUGAAACACGGUCCAGACUCCUACGGGAGGCAGCAGUGGGGAAUUUUGCACAAUGGGGGAAACCCUGAUGCAGCAACGCCGCGUGGAGGAUGAAGUCCCUUGGGAUGUAAACUCCUUUCGACCGGGACGAUAAUGACGGUACCGGUAGAAGAAGCCCCGGCUAACUCUGUGCCAGCAGCCGCGGUAAUACAGAGGGGGCAAGCGUUGUUCGGAAUUAUUGGGCGUAAAGGGUGCGUAGGCGGUGCGGUAAGUCUUCUGUGAAAUCUCCGGGCUCAACUCGGAGUCUGCAGGAGAAACUGCCG